rnacentral:rRNA from 1 species
GGUUGAUCCUGCCAGUAGUCAUAUGCUUGUCCCAAAGAUUAAGCCAUGCAUGUCCAAGUAUAUACCUUUAUACGGUGAAACUGCGAAUGGCUCAUUAUAUCAGUUAUAAUUUACUUGAUGGUCAAUUACUACUUGGAUAACCGUGGUAAUUCUAGAGCUAAUACAUGCAAAGGGCCCGACUUCUGGAAGGGCCGUAUUUAUUAGAUAAAAACCAACGCCUUCGGGCUAACGGUGAGUCAUGAUAACUGCGCGGAUCGCAUGGCCUAGUGCCGGCGACGCUUCAUUCAAAUUU